rnacentral:rRNA from 16 species
UGGUACAAACUUGCCUGACUGAAAGAUUGACACAUCGAUCAGGGACGAAAGUCGGUCAUAGUGACCCGACGGUGCUGCGCGGAAAGGCCGUCGAUCAACGGAUAAAAGGUACGCCAGGGAUAACAGGCUAAUAACUCCUAAGAGACCAAAUCGCCGGAGUUGUUUGGCACCUCGAUGUCGGCUCAUCACAUCCUGGAGCUGUAGGCGGUUCCAAGGGUUCGGCUGUUCGCCGAUUAAAGUGGUACGUGAGCUGGGUUUAGAACGUUGUGAAACAGUUCGGUCCCUAUCUACCAUGAUUUGGGCUGAAAGUUGCCGUCCUAGUACGGGAGGAUCGGGGGGCACCGGCCUAUGGUGACCAGUUGUUCGUUUUUUAAGCGGGCAUCGCUGGAUAGCUACGCCGGGUAGAAUAACUGCUGAAAGCAUAUAAAGCAGGAAGUCUUGCUUAAAAG